AACGAACGCUGGCGGCAUGCCUAACACAUGCAAGUCGAACGAAGGCUUCGGCCUUAGUGGCGCACGGGUGAGUAACGCGUGGGAAACUGCCUAUUGGGGGGGAAUAACGACGGGACACUGUCGCUAAUACCGCAUAAGCCCUCCGGGGGAAAGAUUUAUCGCCGGUAGAUGUGCCCGCGUCCGAUUAGCUAGUUGGUGAGGUAAGGGCUCACCAAGGCGACGAUCGGUAGCUGGUCUGAGAGGAUGAUCAGCCACACUGGGACUGAGACACGGCCCAGACUCCUACGGGAGGCAGCAGUGGGGAAUAUUGGACAAUGGGCGAAAGCCUGAUCCAGCAAUGCCGCGUGAGUGAUGAAGGCCUUAGGGUUGUAAAGCUCUUUCGGGUGGGACGAUGAUGACGGUACCACCAGAAGAAGCCCCGGCUAACUUCGUGCCAGCCGCCGCCGUAA
rnacentral:rRNA from 1 species